rnacentral:rRNA from 1 species
CCAAUAGCGUAUAUUAAAGUUGUUGCAGUUAAAAAGCUCGUAGUUGAAUUUCGGGAUCAAUGCGUCGGUCGUGCUUUCGGGUACGUACUGGUGUCAUUGGUUUCUCCUUUCUGACGAGCCGUGAUGUCAUUAAUUUGGUGUUACGGGUAGUUAGGACUGUUACUUUGAAAAAAUUAGAGUGUUUAAAGCAGGCAUUAGCUUGAAUACAUUAGCAUGGAAUAAUGAAAUAGGACGUUCGAUCCUAUUUUGUUGGUUUCUAGGAUCAACGUAAUGAUUAAUAGGGAUAGUUGGGGGCAUUAGUAUUCAAUUGUCAGAGGUGAAAUUCUUGGAUUUAUUGAAGACUAACUACUGCGAAAGCAUUUGCCAAGGAUGUUUUCAUUAAUCAAGAACGAAAGUUAGGGGAUCGAAGACGAUCAGAUACCGUCGUAGUCUUAACCAUAAACUAUGCCGACUAGGGAUCGGAUGAUGUUAAUUUUUUAAUGACUCAUUCGGCGCCUUACG